rnacentral:tRNA from 1 species
GGGGGCUUAGGAUAGCUUAGACCAAGGGCCUUCAAAGCCCUAAGCGAGGGUGAAAGCCCCUCAGCCCCUG